rnacentral:lncRNA from 1 species
UUUUUUUUUUUUUUUUGUGUUUGGGGGUAUCCAUUCCGGUAGUUCUCAUGAGUCAUGACAAAUAGUAUCGACAUUGGUCCUAAACUUUUUGUUGUCAAUUUAAUUAUCCUUUUUAUGCACAAAAAAAGACGGUGGUAUGGUCCUAAAUGUUCAGCAGCAUCCCGUUUCGUUGUUUUUUUUUUCCUCUAUCCAUUUUUCCUAAUUGCUCCACGUACUCACGGACGAUAUGCGCUCCUAACUUUUUUGUGACCCACUCAUAGUGGCCUCAGGCCUUGUACUCAACUCCACUGCUCCACCGACCUCUUUAAAGGGGGGAAAAAAUCUAAUGAGUGUCUAGGAGGCAACCGGCCACCGUCAACGCACUGCAACCAUAUUGACCCUUAAUGCAACUGAAUUGACCCUCAAUGCAAAUCACCAUAUUAACACCCAAUCAAGCUGUAAACUUCUCAUUUUAAGAUGAUAACAUUUUUUAAUCUCAACUCUUAAAAGAUUCUUUGGGAAGAAAAAUAAUGGCCGGGUUUGUUUGGAUUGCAAGUUAUUUGGGAUAUUUUACUGUAGCAUUUUUUGUGAUGUAAUAUAUGUGAGAUAAAAAGGUAUAUGUGAGAUAAAAAGGUAAUCGAGAAGAUAAAAAGGUGUGUUAAAAAUUGUAACGAUGAUAUAAACAAAUAAAAUUAGAUAAAUAAUACUCAAUCCAAACAAAUCCACGUAAUUUUGGGAAGUUGGAAACGUACCUUUCUUGGAGUUGUAGAUGCCCUUGGAGAGUUAAAACUAGAACGUAUUGACAUGGGGGACCCGAGCUCCAAGCCGGAGAGUUCAUCAGAGACAGAUGAAAAACUCGAAACAAUCGACAAGUAAUCAUUCAGAUGCUCAUCUUCCGGGACAUCCACAGCCUCCACCUCCCACAGAAUCCAAUUAUAAGUUGAACCCGUCUGAGGUUUAUCAUGAGUUAUCGAGUUUCUCCACGGCGGAGUGCCUCCAUUAGCCCGCAAAUAUGUACCUCCAUAGGCCCUUAACUUCACCUGAAAUCCAUCUCUAACCGGCUCCCAUUCAAUUCUCAAGUCCUUCACGUUUUCCGGCACGGUUUGUUGGACUCUGUUACCGGUCAUCCCCAGAAGAAAAGGGUCGUUCGAGGCGGUCAAAUACUUCCCGUGGCAACUUUUGAGGCGAAUAAUAUCACUAGUACCGCGGUCGACAACCUCCACUAGCCAACGGGCUUUUUUCGAGCCACCGUUCCGGCUCUGUCUUGUGCUUUCUUGAUCAUCAUCCGCCACUAAAUAUUUGUCCAGAUGACUUCUGAGUCUAACAGCUUUCGUGUUAUGAAAGAACUCCAUGACCAUGAGAAAAUUUUCCAAAGAACCAGAAGCUUAAAGCGUGUUGCUAUAUAGUGAUGGUGAGAAGUUGAAGAUGGUUUUAAUUAACCAAGUACUAUUAGACUGGUGGAAAAGAGGGCUUUGUCGGAUGGUAUUUGUACCCUUGCCAAAGUACUGGUGAUGAAGAAAUAGGCUAAGAAAAUAAUUUAGUAUAUAUAUAUAGAUAGAUACUAGUAUGGUACUCUAUUUUAUAGUCAUAUAUUUUUGUAGUAGCUUAAUACGUAAGGUUGGGAAAAGGUGUGAAUGAAAUUAUUGGAGGUGUGAUUAGUGAAAGGAUUUCCUUGGCUUUACCAGGAAAAAAAAGAAAAAUCCAUGGUGGAAGAAGGACCAAGAAGAUUUAGGAGUUGACAAGGAAAUUUCGAGGUGGCAUCAUCGUCUAAUCUCAAAGAUCACGCCCUAAUAAGCGUGCGAGGUCUUAAAAGUCUUUUUGUUUUGAUACGAGAUGUAUCCUGCGAGUAAAUUCAUUUAUGGCUGCAGGUGGAUUUCUUUUUUUUUUUUUUUUGGGGUGUGGGUGACAUGUAUAUAUAAUCGUAUUAGUAUUUUUUUAAAAAUUUUUUAUGAUAAAUCAUAAUCAAAUAAUAAUGAGUGUGUUUGGAUACCCCAAUUAUCCCAAAUAAUAUUUCGCUUGUAUCAUAUAUACAUUUUCCAACACAUCUUUUUAUAUUCCCAACCACCUUUUUAUCUCACAUACAUCACAUCACAAAAAGUGCUACAGUAAUUAUUCCAAAUAAUAUUUCAAAUAAUACACUAUCCAAACAAACUUAAUAUCAUUGAGGAAUAUUUUUUGAAGGAGAAGUAUAGAUGAAUUUAACUCCGAUCAUCAUUAGGAUACAUGUUAUCAAGUUAGUGUUAUAUUUGAAAAAGGGGACUUUUUUUUCCAUCUUUGUAGGUAAAAACACUAGUUGCUCUUUAUUGAUUGAAAAUUUUAACGGAAAAUACAACUUUAUUAUAUAAGACUUUGAAAAUAAUAAAAUAUAUAAGACUUUGUUUGUUGGUAAGCACAGCUCAUCAGCUGUAUCUUUCACAAUAUAUGCUCCAAACCCCAAUAAUUAGAUAGCAAAUAAAUUCAUAUUAGUUACCAUUCCCCUCCUUUGGCUAAACUCACAUGGAUUGGCCAUUUACGUGAUGGAUUUGGUUUCCACUAGAUUGAUUACUCAAUUUCUAAACUAAAGAAAACGUUGUAAAAGUCGGUUGAUCUCCUUACAUGAUCUCAAUUACGUUAUUAAUUAUAUUAUUAAAUAUAAAAAAUUGAAUUAUAACUAAAUUAUUAUAUUAUGUAUAUAUAUUUAUAAAUUUAAACAUAUAUACAUUUUUUUUUUUCAUAUGCGGGGAAGGGACGGGAAAUGGAGCGGAUGUCUGUUACCUCACCCCCGGCCCAUUUCAAGCCGGGGGAAAUUUUCUCCCCGUACCCCCGCCCUGACCCAGGCCUACCCCGCGAGCACUUGUCCCCUUGCCGUCCUAGGUUACAGUCUAUAGCAUGAAGCGUAAUAGCAGUUGAAGAUACAAGUAGGCUCCACAUGUCCCUUCCAAGACUCAUUUUGAUUAAUAGGAAUAUUAGUCAAUUGAUUAUAAGAUUUAUGAUUUGAUUAUCAAACUCUCUCCUUCCCCUCUCUCUUUAUAAAGUUUGGGAUAUAUACAAAAAAAAAAAAAAAACAACAACACUGCACACGAGUCUAAUUGCUUUCUCAUGGCUUUUCGUGGUAAUGAAGAUAGCAUAAUCCUUCUCAUAAAUUCAUAGACCUCGUAUAAUAUCUCUAGACUUGUAAUCAAAUAAGGUUGGCUAUCCCCGCAUUAACAAAUCAUUUAUUUUCUUCGCUAAUUAAAUCAGGAUGAUAGAAUCUGAGUGAGGCGGAUAUUUUCUCCAGUAGUAAUUGUUAGUUUGUCAAAGUAAUUAACGGAGAAACGGGCUCCUAAAUUGCAAAUCUCCUUGAUGCUUUUUCUGGCUAGAGUCCGCUGUGAAUUGAUUGCUCGACGAAUAAGGCACUGAACCUCCUAGACUAAUGAUGAAUGCAAAGGACAUUUUGGAGCAAUUGCAUUUAAAAGGCCCAAGUGCCUCAGAGUAGGUAUCAAAUAAUGAAUGAUACUCCUUCUUUCUCAUCCAUUUUGAUAAUCUUAAUUUUUUUUUCACACAAUUUAAGAAAAAAUAAUCUACUUUAUUGAAAAAAAUAAAUUUAGAUUGAUAUUUUCCUAAAAUACGAUUACAUUAAAUAGAGUACAAUUUUAUAUUAAUUAUUCAUAGAAACUUAAAUUAAUGGUUUAUGAGAACUUGAAUUGAUGGUUAAGAAACAAUCUACAUUAAAUAGGAUAGUUUAUCCUAGUAAUAACCUACAUUGAAUAAGGGUAUUUUAGAGAAAUUAAAAAAUAACUAUAUUGUUCAAUUGAAAAAUGGACGACAAUUUAGGAUAGACGAAAAAAGAAACAAACAGCACUAUCAAAGUGGGACGGAGAGAGUACAAAAGAUAAUUCAAGUUGACUCCAUUAAUAAAGAAUCAUGUCCUAAUCCGUGAUGGAUGGCAAUUAGAAUCAAAUUCACCCAUAUUUUUUAUUAAAAAAUAAAAAUGAUAUAUAUAUAUAUAUAUUGUUGCUUCUGCGGCCCUGGUGGGUGAGCGCUGGAAACUUGAGGCCCAGGCAAUAAUACGGGCAAAUAAUGCGCGUGAGACCCAGUCGAACGCUGAGAUUUCUGGAACGCAUUCUAAUUUUCUAGAAGGAGCCCACAAUUCAACAAAUGAGAGUCGUAGCGUUCAGACUAUUGAAUUGGAUGCUUGAUGAUGCGUAUUGUUUGUUGCCAAAUUGCACGCAAUUCACACUACUGAUUUUCCCAGGCGCCAAGAGCGGGUUUCGAUGUUUGCAACCACCAUUCGCAUUAUUGUAUCUUAAUCUUAAUUAAAUAGUGCAAUCAGCCAAUUAGCUCUAAUUAACAAACAUGAAAAUUGCUAAAUUAGUUCAACUCCCACGCUCACCGCUAUAUGUGCGUGUGGCCCGUCUAAGUGAACUUAGGCCUUGCUUGGAUUGCUUGUUUCCGUCGAAAAAUAUUGUUAUUUUCCGUAAUCACAUUUCCCUAUCACAUUUUGCCCUCACAUAUAUCAAAUCGCUACAGUAAUUUUUUCAUAAAAAAUGACGGAAAAUGCAAUCCAAACACAACCUUAGGAUGUUGAUAACAAAUACUAUGAGAUGAUGAACAUAAUACCAUUGAGUAAUAAUGGGAUACAGAAUGAUGUUGGAAAUAUUAUUUAAGAUUAAUUAUUGUAGCACUUAUUAUUAUGAUGUGAUAUAUGUGAGAUAGAAAGAUAAUUAAAAAUAUAAAAAAAAAGAAGUUAUUGAAAAACAAACAUGUUUUUGAUGUAAAAGCGCCGCCAGGUGUAUUAGCAGUGAUUGUUGAUGUUUCUUACUCUGUCCAUUUAAUAAAGAUAAACAUAUUUUUCAUUCAAAAGGAUAGUUAAUUUAUUAAUUUACUAAUACGUCCAUAUUUAAUGUAUAUUUUUAUCAACAAACACGAGUCAUUUUAUAUUAAGGAGUGAUAAGUGCCAAAAAAAUGAUUAAUGAACAUGUGUCAUACACUAAUUUGAAUGGAAAUAUACGAGUUGCUAAAAGUACAAACGAGAGGCAGCCCUAAGUGCCGUCAAUCUUUUUUUUUUUUUUUAAAUUUGAUUUCAUCGGAUUCUAAAGAGUGUGAAAGUAGAGCUGUAAACGAACCGAAAUGAAUCGAGUAUCUCAUGUUUGAGCUCUGUUCGUUAAGCGAUUCGAACUCCGUUCGUGUUCGUUCGUUAACUUUCGAACUCUAAAUCUGUGUUCGUGUUCGACUCGUUAAGUAAAGUUCGUGUUCGUGUUCGUGUUUGUGUUCGACUCGUUUAACAUAAACGAGCCGUUCGCGAACACGCUCGAAAAGUUCGAAUCCAGAUUAUUCUAGACCUUAAAUAUGCCACACAAAUCAUUAAUCAUCCUAAAAAAUAAUUAAAUACUAAAUGACUAAAUUCCAUUAUUCAAUAACUGCAUAACCAACAUUAACAUAAAAACAACAAAUAAAACAAAGUAAUUUGUCCUUCAAAUAUAAAAAUUCAGCCAUAAGACAAGUACAAAUUUUCGGCAGUAGCCAAUGGGGAAGGAAAACAAAAGUAAGGUUGGAAAGGGAAGGGGAAAGUUUUAGAAUUUCUUAUGAGUAACCCUAAAAUUUGUCAAAUAACAAUUAUGUCCUUGUUCGCGAACGCUCGUUAAAAUUCGCGAACAUGUUCGUGUUCGCUCGAUUAUUAAACGAACACAAAAAUUCGUUCGUGUUCGUUCGUUUAAGGCUUUCGAACGAGCCUUUAACGAACACGAACGAGCCAAAACGAAGCGAGCUAACGAACAGCUCGGUUCGUUUAACAGCUCUAUGUGAAAGUGAUGGAACAGUUAAGUGAUUUUUCUUGAUUUAGUACGCAGCCUGAGAUUGGAGUGUGAUAAAACAAACAGAGAGCCACAGAGGCAAAUGGGAAAAGGUUGAUUAUAUGACUACUGAGAUAACAGAGAUAAAUGGGAAAAAGAUGAUUUCAACAUUCUAGGCUUCAAACUGAUACCGAUGUUUUUUUUCCUAAAUAAAAUUUUGAUAAUCUCACUUUAAGAUUCCACGUUAUCCUCGAGAUUUGAGAAGAGCACAAGCCGAAAAUUUCACUCAAUCCAGCAUUUCUGAAGCCCUGAAAAGUGUUUCGAAAAAAAAAAAUAAAUAAAGAAGAAAAGAAAAAAAAGAAGGAAGCCGAAGACAGCUUCUUCAAAAUUGAUCUAAUAAGCUUCUUGAAAGCAAUUUUGCAGAUAUUAUUAUUAUUAUUAUAUAGCUCUGCUGCCUCGGGAGAAAAAGGGUGGAAAACGAAAUGGGAAAUGGCCCGGCUACAGCAUGGAAAACCCAACCAUUUGCUGACCAAAGCUUGUGGAAUUAAGAUGUAAAUGGCCACUGAGAAUGAACCAUCUAUGUGACAGAGAUGUUCAUCCCAUCAUCAUAUGGCUGAAAAGUUAUUCACACCAAGCCGUCGCUCUCAUAACAUAAUGAAACAAUCACCACUCUUGCUUGCAAGUCUUUCACCACAGUGCCCAACCAUUCCGCACUCCCCAGUGCCUUUUAGAUUGGUGGAGUUGAAAAUUUGCAUCCUUGCACAUCCCACUGAGCAAAAUGGCUUCAUAGUAGUAUUAGUAUGUGUCUGCUGACUCUGCUCCAAAGCUAAUGCAAGGUCCAAAUCUCUGUAAUCUGUAUCUUACCCAAAUUCGAAAUGAUGAAUGAUGCAUAGUCUGCUUAACGCUGAUGCUUUGAGCUCACAAGAGUAGUUUUCUUUUAUGCUUUUGUCUUCUUGGAUGGGCAGAAAACUAGGAUUUGAACACACUACUGCUAAUUCUUGAAUACAUCAUACGGAUUUCAGAUACAGAUAUUAUUGUCAGAUUAAGCAGUUUUCUGUAGAAAUGAUCACUACUGUUGCUGGAAUAUAAUGCUCUAGUUAAAAGGCUCUUGCUUUUUCAGUCAGAUGAAUUUACUCACAACGGAAUUGUUACUACUAGAUCUUUAUGACCAGAAAGAACAGUAGUAGUAUCUGAAUAGAUAGAGUGAUGAAAGAACUGUCGCUUCACUCCCAUCUUCAUCCUUCUCUGCCCCUAUUGAGCCAUUGUACAUUCCAAAGUGAAGCGCACAAUCUCGCAAAGAAGCAUUUUAUUAUCAUAUUUGUGAUUCCUUCCACGUAGAAUAGAAUAGAAUACAAGCGAAAAGGUUAAAUUUUCAACUUUGGCCAAAUUUUCACGGUUUUGGUCUCCUUAGCUAGUGACCAUUCCUUUUGGGGUUUUGUCUUCACCCCAUUCUCUUCACGUGACUCAGGACACUCGACUCCUCUCUCUUCCCUUCCUCGAGACCUCCCCACUUCUCUUCUUGUUCUCACAUCGGUGGUGCCACCACAAACUACCUAUGCAGUCAACCCAAAAGGCCAAAACUAGAUCAAGAUUUAGAUCUUCCUCUCCUCAUUCAUGACUGUGCUUCGCAGUUGGGCUCCACAAUGUCACCCGCGCCACCAUUAAAACCACCAAAGCCACUCUCUCUGCAACCCCGUUCGGCCGCCGCCACCACUAUCUCUCUCUUUCUGCUCUUCCUCCUCCGCCUGCCCUCCUCGACAGCAGCUCAUAUUUGCUCAGAACUUCCCUCCGAAACAGCCAAAUAUUCAUGUCCACCUUUCACUUACGCCCCGUCUUUUCCUUUCUCCUCGCAUCCUGGCUGUGGUCAUCCAUCCUUCCAAGUCAAAUGCUCACUUCCACAUGCCAUCAUUUCCAUCAAUAACCUCACCUUUUCCCUCCUCCACUAUGAGCCCAACUCCCCUUCUCUCGUCCUCUCCCCUGCAACAGUUCCGCCGCCAUCUUCACACUCCAAACAAAAUUGCUCUGUUCAGCAUACUCUGUUUUCCAUCCCCAGCAAACCAAUCUCCCUUGUUGGCACCCCAUUUCGGUUAUCUGACUCGUAUUGCUCUAGACUUUCAGUCGUCAAACCUUGUCCACCUCCAAACCUUCCAAACUGCAGCCAUUGUUCUUGGGAAUGCAAACUUAUCAAGAACCCCGUAAACCUUCUUCCUGAAUGUAGAUCAGAACACCAAGAAGACUCUCAACAGGGAUGCCGAGGUGAUGUUCUGGGAUUUCUUGACAAUUUCUUGAAACUUGGAGUUGAAGUUGAGUGGGAUGAAGACCAAGAUAGCUACUUUACGAGCUGCAAAACCUGCAGGGCUAAAAAUGGCUUUUGUGGGUUCAAUUCUUCGGACCCUGGAAUGCCAUUCCUCUGUUUCAAAUCCCCAGCUGCACAAAUUCGUGAAAAAGGGGCCAACAGGAUUGCAAUCCUGUGCAUUCUUUUGUUGUUUAUGUGUUUCUUGAUCAUAUUUUUUGUUGGUACUGUUAUUUUCCGGUCUAGGCAAAAAGGAUUGGCCUCAGAAGAAGAUCCCACUAUUGUCUUCCUUCGGAGACACCGCUCAGCUAGUCUCCUUCCACCAGUGUUUACUUAUGAGGAGCUCGAGUCUUCCACAAAUCAUUUCGACCCAAAACGCAAAAUUGGCGACGGAGGAUUUGGUUCUGUCUAUUUGGGCCAGCUUAACGAUGGCCGGAGAGUGGCAGUAAAGCAUCUUCACAAGCACAAUUCAGGCAGAGCAGCUGGGGAAAAAGCAUUUUCGACAAAGUCAUUUUGCAAUGAGAUCUUGAUCUUAUCUUCACUCAACCAUCCCAAUUUAGUUAAGCUUCACGGCUAUUGUAGCGAUCCGAGAGGGUUGCUUUUAGUGUAUGAAUAUGUACCAAAUGGUAGUCUCGCGGACCAUCUCCAUGGAGCGACGGAUUUAUAUGCAAAGGGCACGUUACCAUGGAAUCUAAGAGUUGAUAUCGCGCUACAAACUGCAAUGGCCAUCGAAUAUUUGCAUUUCUCAUUAGUGCCACCAAUUGUUCAUAGAGACGUUACCUCAUCAAACAUUUUUGUAGAGAAGGAUAUGAGAGUCAAAGUUGGUGAUUUUGGGCUAUCAAGGCUACUGAUUUGCUCAGAAACCACGACGGAGAGGGAUAAUUCUUCGGGGGGUGUUUGGACUGGUCCACAAGGUACACCAGGAUACUUGGAUCCUGAUUAUCAUAGGUCCUUUUUGUUGAAUGAGAAGAGUGAUAUAUAUAGCUUUGGAGUAGUGUUGUUGGAGUUAAUAACUGGGAUGAGGGCCGUGGACCAGAGGAGGGAAAAGAGGGAAAUGGCACUGGCUGAUUUGGUCGUGUCAAGGAUACAAAUGGGAGUGUUGCAUCAGGUUGUGGACCCUGAUUUGGUCGUAGAUGCUGAGGCAAUGGAGGGUGUUGGUGCUGUUGCGGAGCUGGCUUUUCGAUGUGUGGCAGCAGAUAAGGAUGACAGGCCUGAUGCUAGGGAAGUGGUGGCGGAACUGAGGCGAAUUAGGGGCCGCCCCCGUGUGGUUGCUGGCGGUGGUGCUGGGGUUUUCAGAUCGUCCAACUCCAGUAAUGUUGUUGUUCCAGAUAGUAUUGGAUUAACGAGCUAAAACAAGACACGUGAGCUAUGACUAUUGUGGAGUUGAGAGAUUGAUCAAAUUGUAUUUGUACGUGCACGGGAGGAUAUCUGACUAGAAAAGUAGGCAGACGUUUUGUUUGGUAUUGGUAAAGAUAUUAUUGUUAAUAGAUUAAAUUACUUCCUUUGCUUCGGUAAGAAAAUUUUACCUUCAGAUUAGUGCUAUUUGGCUUAUGCUCCCUCUCCUGGUGACUUUUCAUAUUUACCUGCUCACAGUGACAGCCACAAGCUAACUGGUGUUCCAUUUUUUUCCCUUCAGAAGGACUUGGCUACCCAAAUAUUCACCCAGUUUGGAUCAUAUCCCGAGUUUUUCACGUGCUUCACUUCCACUUCCAUUUCAGUUUGAAGCUACUGAGUCGUUUGAAUGAUUGCUUGUCUACUAGUAAACCAAUAUACCAACAACAAAUACUCAAAUAUAGCAGUUUAGGUCCGGCGAAUGCCCGUAAAUGUUCAUGACUUUGUUUAACGUGCAGCAUUUACUUGAAUGACUAGGAGAUCAUUAGGGUACAGAAAUGCGGGACUUACAAGUAAAAUAUUCAACAGCCAAUGCUAAGCAUUUAAGGAUGUACGUCCAUCUAAACCAUCUAUGUGAAGUACGCGACCGCUAAUGCACUGGCUCUCUCUCCAACGUUUGCAGCUUCUGGCC